rnacentral:rRNA from 1 species
GAUGAACGCUGGCGGCGUGCUUAACACAUGCAAGUCGAACGGAAAGGCCCAAGCUUGCUUGGGUACUCGAGUGGCGAACGGGUGAGUAACACGUGGGUGAUCUGCCCUGCACUUCGGGAUAAGCCUGGGAAACUGGGUCUAAUACCGGAUAGGACCACUUCUUGGAUGUUGUGGUGGAAAGUUUUUUCGGUGUGGGAUGAGCUCGCGGCCUAUCAGCUUGUUGGUGGGGUAAUGGCCUACCAAGGCGUCGACGGGUAGCCGGCCUGAGAGGGUGUACGGCCACAUUGGGACUGAGAUACGGCCCAGACUCCUACGGGAGGCAGCAGUGGGGAAUAUUGCACAAUGGGAGCAAGCCUGAUGCAGCGACGCCGCGUGGGGGAUGACGGCCUUCGGGUUGUAAACUCCUUUCGCUAGGGACGAAGCGUUUUGUGACGGUACCUGGAGAAGAAGCACCGGCUAACUACGU